rnacentral:rRNA from 1 species
UACGGAGGGUGCAAGCGUUAAUCGGAAUUACUGGGCGUAAAGCGCGCGUAGGUGGUUCGUUAAGUUGGAUGUGAAAUCCCCGGGCUCAACCUGGGAACUGCAUUCAAAACUGACGAGCUAGAGUAUGGUAGAGGGUGGUGGAAUUUCCUGUGUAGCGGUGAAAUGCGUAGAUAUAGGAAGGAACACCAGUGGCGAAGGCGACCACCUGGACUGAUACUGACACUGAGGUGCGAAAGCGUGGGGAGCAAACAGG